rnacentral:rRNA from 1 species
CAGUCGUACCGGUGGGUAAUCAGCCUUUCGGCGUGAUUAUGUGGAGCGUGAGGAGUUAAACGCCCUCAUGCCUGCAUAUUCGUGUUCUUUGGGUGUACUUACCCGCAUGGUAGGUUAACAUCAAUUUCGAACGUCAUAAAAUGGUUGGAGGAAUGUAGCUUCGAUCUCGUAUUGAAGUGUUAUAGCCUCCGGCAGAUGUGAUGAUCGGGAUUGAGGAUUGCAACGGAUACCCUUCGGGGCUACCCGUCUAUCUCUGAAAGUUACUCUGGUGCCGAAAGCUCGCUUACGGUCAUCAAAGUUGACGUUCAACAGGUUAGAAGGGAUAAA